rnacentral:rRNA from 1 species
GUCACGCCCGAAGUCGUUACCUCUCACGUUUUGAAGUGGUAUGCCUAACGUAGGGCUGAUGGAUGCGUA